CACACACACACACACACACACACACACACACACACAAAUGCUGCAGGAAAUCUUAACAUUCUAUAGAUAUAUCUCAGCAUUCUUACCGCAAUGGAAGGAUGUACUUCAGUUCUCUCAUUUCAUCUCCUCUUCAGUUAUUGCUUCGCUUUUUACAAAUAGUCUCUCCGUCCUCUCACAGACACAUUAGUGCUUUUUGUAAGAUUCAUGGAAUAUCAUUUUCCAGCUUCUCUCCUCCGUCAGUGCAGCUGAAGACCAAAUUUGCAGUCUCUCUCUCUCUCUCUCCAGCUACAGAGGAGAUGAGCUGAAAAAUGAUAU